AAAAAAAAAAAAAAAAAAAAAAAGGAGAGAAAAAUAUAUACAAAAGGAUUUACUGGCUACAUGCAUCUUCACUGUAAUGCCUUAUGGACAGCUUCACUCCUCUAUUUGUUCCUGCGUUAUCUGAGCAGAACAUAUAUCUCAGGGUUCAGCGUGAGACAAGGAAAUAAGGAUAGAUGGUGCAAGGAUGAGUCCCCAGGAUCUGGAGGAAUGUACAUGUCCAGGGUUGGAUGAAGAACACCAGCCAGUUGAGGUGGCCUGGUCCCCCUCAACUGUUUGAUUAGAAGCCCUUAUAAGCAGUUCAUAUUGAAGAACUCUUGCAGUACUCUAGAAGAACUGAAAUACUGGCCAUCAUGUUAGUGAAAAGUAAUGGGUAUAGCAUACAUAAAUAAAUAGUUGAGUACGCUUCUGAUAUUCUGUCUGUAUGGGAACUGCUGAGUCAUGGCCUGAACCACUGAUUGAGCACAUGGUGAAGGGUCACAGCCAGCCCUGGGAGCACAGGUGAAAGCAAUUUACCUGUGCUACCAGAAGGGAUAGAACCAGGUUCCUCCCCUCCCUAAAACCUCAUUUAAGGGCUGGCUGCCCUAGGGGAAGGUUCUGUUCCUGGAAAUUCCUUCCUUUUGGAGUCUUUAUGCAAGCCUAGAUCUUUGGAUACAGGUGAGCAUCCUUUUCUUUGUAACACCUUCUUAUUGUGCAUAUCCAAGACUGGUCCGGUUGCCUUUGCACUGUCUUUGUGCAGUUUGAAAAGCAGUUUUAUAAUCUAUGCUGCUUAGCUGCACUUGACUGCCUUCCUAAGUAGACACAUGUAAAACCUGUAAAGUCAGUAUACAGCUGUGUGGCCAUUCAUUCAGCCUCACCCAGGCUUGUGCAGCUCAUUGUCCAGAAGAAAGCCUCUGAUCCUGCCUGUAUUCUUUUCUAUUCCUUUCAAGAGCAUAGUCUCCAG
rnacentral:lncRNA from 1 species